rnacentral:rRNA from 1 species
GACGAACGCUGGCGGCGUGCCUAAUACAUGCAAGUCGAACGCUGAAGGAGGAGCUUGCUUCUCCGGAUGAGUUGCGAACGGGUGAGUAACGCGUAGGUAACCUGCCUGGUAGCGGGGGAUAACUAUUGGAAACGAUAGCUAAUACCGCAUAAGAGUAAAUGUUGCAUGACAUUUGCUUAAAAGGUGCACUUGCAUCUCUACCAGAUGGACCUGCGUUGUAUUAGCUAGUUGGGGGGGUAACGGCUUACCAAGGCGACGUUACAUAGCCGACCAGCGAGGGUGAUCGGCCAAGCUGGGACGGGGACACGGCCCAGACUACUACGAGAGGCAGCAGGAGGGGAUCUUUGGGAAUGGACGGAAGGCUGAACAAGCAACGCCGCGUGAGAGAAUGAGGCUGUCGGGUCGUGAAGGUCAGUUGUAAGAGAAGGACGAGUGGGAGAGUUGAAAGGUCACACUGUGACGGUAUCUUACGAGAAAGCGACGGCUAACUACGUG